GGGUCAAGGGGCCUGUCUAGAGUAGCCGCCCAGCAUCCGGCUCCGAGAACCUUUUCCCUUUCCUCUGGGAGACCUGAAUGGGCGCCAACCCAGCCCUGGUCUCCCGGCUCUGCUGCGGAAGCUUCCCACCUGGUGCCCGGCGCUUGGGAUGCCGCCGACGGGCUCGGUCCAGUGUCCCUGUGCCUUCUCUGCAGGUGUCCCACCAGGUAGAGGAGGAGGCCGGAGACUUGUGUUCCUGCAAGGCGGGGCCGGUGCUCCUCGUUGUGCUUGCGCUCGCCCUGCACGUUCUGCGCUCCAGGGCCUGGCAGGGACCAAAACAGGCCGGGGAGCAGUGACACCUGGGGCAGUCAGUCAUCCAGGAGCCGCCGCCACCUGCCCCACCCCCAAUCUCCUCGGGAGGUGUUUAUCUUUGCCUGCGCUCCCGGCUCUUUCUCUUUCACUUUUCUUUUCGCCGGAGGUUGGGACUCCGGGUGGAAGGUGCCCGGGGGAAUCCCAGCUGACUCGUUCACUGCCUUCGGAGUCCGGCGCCCUCGGGGAACUGGGUGUCCGCUCCCGCCCGGCUGCAGUGGCUGUCGCCCCCCAACCCUGCAGCCAGGACUCGAUGGAGGAAACAUACUGGCACUUCAUCUGUAUGUCCUCAUUGAAUUUGAAUAACUAUUGCAUUUUUAUCGUGACUUCACAAAGAAAAAAAAAUGGCAUGCAGUGUUUCACUUGCAUUAGGACACAGCUAGAAUCCAUUCCAAUAUAUGGCUACGUGGCUCUUUGGAGCAAUGUUCCAUCAUGUUCCAUGCUGGUGACAUCACACGGAGCACAGAAAUCAAUGUUAGCAGAUAGCCAGCCCAUACAAGAUCGUUCCACUUGUGUUUUUAAUGAAUCAUCAUUUACCCUGGAGUGUAUUGUAGGAGGCAUCGUGGAUGGAUGGCUGCUGGAAAUCCCUUGCCAUAGCCAGCUCUUCUUCAAUACUUACAGAUUUACCGUGGUUUUGAGUAAUGAGAAUUUUGAAACCACGUUUGAGAAGUAUUUCCAUUCAGUGCUACUUGUGUUUACUUCUAAACAGUCAUUUUCUAACUGAGGCUGGCAUUCAUGUCUUCAUUUUGGGCUGUUUCAGUGCAGGGCUUCCUAAAACAGAAGCCAACUGGGUGGAUGUAAUAAGUGAUUUGAGAAGAAUUCAAGAUCUUAUUCAAAGAAAACAGGUGACCCGACCUAAGGAAGUGCUCUUACUGUAGCAGAUAAUACCAGCUUCAGUGGAAGUCUCACUGGCACCAAGCAUACCAAAAUAGCACCACAAAGUUUUGAAAACCAAAUUGUCAUUGGAAUCACAGCAUUAAAAAGUAGGUUAGAACUUGCAUGCUAAAUUCAAACGGGCUGACUGCACGUUAAAACAGAAGAUUUAAAUAGGACCAGAGUAUCCUAAUAUAAUAGACACAAAGCCAAGAUACAAUUGAAAAUCAUCUAUUGUAUCAAGAAGUAGGAAAGUUACAAUUUGAAUGAGAAAAUAUAAUCAACAGACUACAAAAUUGAAAUGGAUCAGAUGUUGGAAUUGUCUGACUUCGAUUUGAAAGCAGACAUUAUAAAAAGUGCUUCAAAAAGCAAUUACAAAUGCCCUUGAAGCAAAUGAAAAACGAAAUGCCUUAACAAAGAAAUAGAAGAUAUGAAAGGAACCGUGUAGAAAUUAUAGAACUGAAUAUAUAACUAAAAUACAAAACAGACUGUAAAGGCUUGUUAACAGACUGAAUAACAGAGGAAUGAUAGUUAAUUUGACAACAGAAUACUAGAGAGACAACUGACUUUAAAAAAAAAAAAAAAGCAUCAGUGAUCUGGAGGACACUAACAAAAGAUCCAGCAUUCCUAUGGUCGGCAUUGUAGAAGAGUAUGAUAAUACACCAAGUAAGAGAGAGAGAUUGGCUGAGUUGACAACAGAACAAAACCCAUUUAUGCUAUCUGUAAGCAGUUCACAUCUAGUAUAAUGACAUAUAUAGGUUGAAAUUAAAAAAAAAAAACAGAUAAAGAUGUAUACCAUACUAUAAUGGGUUGAAUAGUGCCCCCCAAAUUUCACAUCCACUUGGGACCUUAAGAUGUGAUCUUAUUUUGAAAUAAUAUAUUUGCAAAUAUAAUUAAUGAAAUUAAGAUGAGAUCAUACUAGAGUAGGGUGGACCCUAAAUCCAAUAACUAGUGUCUUUAUUAGAAAAGGAAAGGACACAGAGGAACUCACUGGAAAGAAAGCCAUGUGAAGACAGGGGAAGAGAUCAGAGUGAUGCAACUAUAAGCCAAGGAAAACCAGGGAUUGCCAGGAUCCACCAUAACCUUGGGAAAGUCAAGAAAGAAUUCUUUAGAGCCCUCAGAAAGAACGUGGCCCUACCAACACCUUGACUUCAGACUUCCAGUCUCCAAAACUGUAAAUGAAUAAAUUUAUGUUGUUUUAAACCACCCACUUUGUGGUAGUUUGUUACAGCAGCUCUAGACUGAUAUACAUGCAUACAUUAUGGUAAAAAGCAUAAGUGGCUAUAUUAACAUCAGAUAAAGUAGACUUCACAGAAAAUAAAGUUACUAGAAUCAAGAGGGCCAUUACAUAAUGAUAAAAAAUAAAUCCAUGAGGAAAACAUAAUGUUCUUAAAUGUAUACACAUCAAACAAAAAAGCCUCAAAAUUUGUGAAGCAAAAAAAUAAUAGGGCUAAAAGAGAAAUAGACAAAUCCACAAUUAUACUUGAGAACUUUGCUGCCUCCACCUCAGUAACUAAUAGAAAUACUAGACAGAAAAUCAGAAAGGGUAUAAACAUAUAGCAUAAGCAACCAACAGGAUCGAAUUUAAUACAUGGAGCCCUGCACACAACAACAGCAGAAUAUACUUUCUUUCAUCAAGACUGAAUAUAUCCUGAGCCAUAAAGCAAACUUUAAAAUUUUUUUCAGAACUUAAACCAUGCAGAAUUUGUUCUCAAAUCAAAAUGGAAUCUAACCAGAAAUCAAGAAA